UUUACAAUGACUGCCUGCAGAGUCAGGGGUAUAAGAAUGCCAAAAGGACCGUCUGCGUGCUGGAGUGCCACAGAAUCCAGUCAGAGAUUGAAGGCCCGGAACUCACUGCAGAGCCUUGAGCGAGUCUGUCAGGAAGCAGAAGCGUCUGUGUUGGAAGAUUGAAGAGUCAGCGCUAGAAGCCUGGAGAUAGAUGUCCACAGGUGAUGCUGAAGCCUGGAGCUCCUCCAGAGGCACAGAAAACGGGACUUCCUUCUUCUUCCCCUUUGAUUCCAGCUAGACCAUAAGCCUAUUAGUUGGUGCCACCCACAGCUAGGGUGGGUCUUCUGUUUUUAGUAAGUCAGUCAUCCACACACACCAGAACUGUACUACACUAGUGCCCUAGACCUUACUUAUUCAAGUUGACACACAAUGAACUGUCACACCUCUAAGGUUAUUCAGGUGUUACGAGGCAAAUAUUUUCAAGUUUUUGGGUGGAAGCAGGCCUUUGAGAAUUGCCUGUGUACCAAGUACUGUGCCAGGUAUGAGAUAAGGAUGUAAAACCAUGAUAAUACAAUUGCUUUCUCCAAGGGUGUAAGAUGUAACUGAAAAGGAAAAGCACAGCAUAUGCAAAACCAAUUGUGAAAUAAUGAUGUGCAGUAGGAAUUCAGGGAAGAGAGAGCUAAGUGUGCAUGGAGUAAUAGCAGAAGAGGCAGUAUAGGCUGGAUCUUAAUGAAUGCAAAGUAUUGCAGUAAAUAAAGAGUCAUAAAAAGGGCUUGCAGUCAGUUAUAAAGUAAUAUUUCACCAGAAACUAGAGUACACCUAAGAAUAAUCAGUGUUCAUGAUUGCUCUGGAACUUAGCAAAGGCGCGCAUCUGAAAAAUACUGAGGCUUGAGCAGUUGCUAGGCUUUGCAUAAUAGCAGUGGGAAUGAAGCUGGGCGUGGCAAUGCAUUCCUCCGAUCCAGCUACUCUGGAGGCAGAGGCAGGAGGCGAUCAAGUUCCAGGACAACCUAGGAAAGAAUCUGUCUCAAAAUGAAUGAACAAAUAAAUGAAUGAAAUGAAUAGAACAAAUGAAUAAAUAGUAAAACGUAGUAUUUACGGAAGUCAUUAAAAUGACAUUUCUGUUGGUACUGUAGUGUUUGGAUUUUAAGAAUCAGAAGAAUGAAAAAAAAUUUGCUAAGCAAGGACUCAUUAAGAAAACAUAAAGACUGUUAUCACUAUACAUUUACCUUGAGAAAAGCAAACUCACUGUAAUAAUUCAGUAACAAUGAGGACUUAAUUCCAAACUUAAGGACUGUUCAUUAAAUAGAAUACAAUUAAUUCAUCAUGUUAAUAAUUUUUUCAUUCUGUUACAAGUGCCAAAAAUGUCCUCUUGUGUUGGGAAAACUACCUCAGGAUGGAGUGCUUGCCUGACAUUCGUAGGUCCUCGGAUCAAGCCUCAGCAUAAGUAAAUAAAUAUCCGUAAUACGUAUUAGAGUGAGAUACCCUUAGGCAGAGGUGGUGAAACGAUGACAUGCGUGCUCCAGUGGGAAGAUUGUUACCACUGAGCGCUCUGAAGCUUCACUGUCACGGCCCUAAAGCUCCGGUUUGUUACUAGAGCUAUGGUUGGUUAAGUGGUGUCAUGCUUUGGAAGUGGCACUGCAGCACUGUUUGACUUUGUGUAAAGUGGUGGUGAUAUUAUGCAGAAGUAGAAGGAGCUUUUGGGAUAACACCUAAGUGUCUUUUUGUCCUGAAAAGUCCUGGAGCCCUUGUACAUAGUCCCGUCCCUUUCCGCCCCUCCCUUGACCCCCACACUUCCCUUACUCUGCUUUUCUCUCUUUUCCUUUCUUCUCACUUUCCUGCCCUCCCUCCUUCCUUCCCUUUUUUCCUUUCUUUCUCUUCAUUGUUUGGGAUUGAACCCAGGUUUGUGCAUGCUUGUCAAGCACCGUAGCACUGAACUAUACUCCCAGCCCUUUUUAAAAUUUAAUUUUGAGACAGAGUCCUGAAAAGAUGCAGUGCUGGCCUCAAAUUUAGAAUUCUCCUGUGUCAUCCUCUUAAAACAGUUUGGGAUUACAGAUGUGUGCCUUUGCACCUGGCAUUUUCGAUUUUGAUUGAUUUGUAUCCUGUUGUGUUUGUGAGACUCAAGGGAAUCACAGGUAGAUCAGUAUUACUUUACAGGCACCAAAAUAAGGUAAAUGACAUUUUACCAGUUUUUGCUGCUGAUAGACAAGGGCUUUUCCUUUGGUUCAUGGUGCAUGAAAUUCUAGCACCAAGUCUUUUACUUGUCCUUUCCUUUGGUAUUUUUCAGGCAUACUGUGGCAUUCUGGCUUUUGUUCUACCUCUCCGGCAUGGCUUUGUAGCUCUUUUUACUGUUUGAAGGCUUGUACAUCCUUUGUAUAGCAUUUAUGCAUAUAGGUUUUAAUGGAGUCAUAAUGUUAGGGAAUUCAGUAAUGCAGAUGGUUUGUGGGUUGCUUGAUUUAGUACAAAUUGAGCAUCUCUAACUUAAAAGUUUUUGAGCACUGGUAAGUUGUUCAAAAUUUUCAGACUUUGACCUGGGCCUGGUGGUGGAUGCCUGUAGUCCUGGCAUUCUGAGAGGUUGAAACAGGAAAAUUGCAAGUUUGAGCUCACCCUGGAGAACAUAGCAACUUAAGGAGACCCUGUGUGAAAAAACAAAACAAAAGAUUUGGGUGUGUAGCUCAGUGUGAAGACACUGCAUUCAAUUCUGAGUUCUGGGGAAAAAAGAGAAUCAGACUUGUAGAAUUUUCAGUUUCAGGUUUUUGGCUUAGGGAUGGGAUGGGGAUGUUCAUUGUAAAGCCUAUGGAAAUAUUCUAAAAUCUGGAAAAUGCUGAAUCGGAAGCACUUCCAAUAUUAAGCGUUUUGGAGAAGACACAAUCUUUAUUAUCUUAGAACUACCAAUGUAUUAGUGCAUUUUAGGUAUGUUCUCUGUUCUUCUGAUUAUGGAUGUAACUAAAUGAGAUGAUAGUACUGUUAUUUUUUAAUAAUGUUUUCUCAUGUCUUAGGGAUAUUCUUUAUAAAUGUUAAAAUGGUAACACUGCCUUUAAUAAACAAGAAAAAAAGUAUCCAGUGUUUAUCAUGACCCAAGUUCACAUGAUCACUUAAGGCAAAGUUUUAGUUUUUAUGUUGGAGUAAGGCAGGGAGCCAGCACAUUACAUACUUGACUUACACUAAAUACAAUUUAAAAACAUACUCUGGACAAAUCUCAGUAGGAGGCAAGAGUGGUCUAUUACUGUAAACUGAUACAUACACUAUUAUGUAAAAUUGUAACCAUAGGAAAUAUGCCUGUGCAUUUAAUUAUUUAAAAAGUUGGCUUUUUUUUGGAGACACAAUCCCACUAUAUAUGAUUUAGGUCUGGCCUUGAACUUGGUGGUGAUCCUCCUGCCCUAGCCUUUUGAGUGCUGCCCCACUGCCAUAUCUGGCUCUAAAAAAGACAGUUUUUGAAUUGCACACGCCUAAGUGCUAGGCUCAAAAGGCCUAUCUAUGUUGCUUUAAUUUUUUAAAGAAAAUUCCCUACUGUUUUGUGAUAUGUGUAUCCCUAAAACUCUGGGCAGCCAUCAUCAUGACUAGAAUCAGAUAAUGCACUCAAUUUUGGUAAUGUGAGGAGAGUUUAAAUAAAAUGAAAUGUGUGGGAGUUGAAAUUCUAAGUAAGAGAGAGCAUUAGUUGAACUGUGGAGAAGCCUUAUUAAGGUUAAGACAGCGACUCCUCCCUCUGAUAGAGAGAUUCACCUCAGGCUUCAUUAUCCAGUGUUGUUCCAGCAUAUUUUCCUGUCUCCACAUCUUCCAUGAGGCAAACACAGCCAGAAGCCAGGACUGGAUUUUAAAGGUUCAGAGAGACAGUGGACACAGGCUAUAUGAUAUGAGUGAUUCUUUCAAGCAGGGGUAGGAUGUAGAGAAUGCAGCAUAUAUUUGGAAUGGGAGCGUAAUUUUAUUUUGCUAAAUUGUAUGACAAAACUGAGACAUAGGCUUGGUGAAUUAUUUUUGUAAUCUUGUAAUCAGAACAAUAACAAUCUAAAAUUAAAGCUUGAUUGAUUGAUUGAUUGAGAUGGGGUUUGCUCUGUCAUUCAGGCAGACCUUGAACUCACUGUGUAGUCCAGGGUGGCCUCAGGCUGGCAGCAAUCCUGCAGCCUCAGCCUCUCAAGUACUGAGAUGGUAGGUUUGUGCCACCAUGCCUGGCUGAAAUGAAAGCAUUUAAGAAGAAAUAUUAGUGCUAGUAAAAAUACUAAUAAAUAAAGUGUUAAACAGAAGUACUGCAUUUGUCAGCUUUUCUGUUGCUGGGACAAAAUAUUGAAUGGCAGCAAUUUUAAGUUUAUUUUGGACCCUGGUCUGAGGUUCAGUCCAUAGUUGUCUUGUUCUAAGGCAGAAACAUCGUGGCAGAGGGGCCUGCUGGAGAAAAGCUGUCAUGUCAUAGCAGCCAGAGAAGAGGGAUCGAGAGGUGUGUGUGGGGAAGGGUUGGGGAGGUGAAAGGAGAGAGAGAGAGAGAGAGAGAGCGAGAGAGAGAGAGAGAGAGAGAGAGAGAGAGAGAGAGAGAGAGAGAGAGAGAGAGAGAGAGAGCGAGAGAGAGCGCGAGCGCAGUAGGCAGGGAGGUGGGCAGGCAGAGACAGACGACGUGGCAGGAACACCUUUCCGGGUCACACAUGAAAUGACCUGACCCUUUUUGAGUACAUCUCAGGUACUUUGAUGGAAUGGGGAUGAAAGAAAAGGCGAGCAGUGUAGAGAAAGGUGCAAAAUGGACAAAGACCAGGGCGACACACACUUAGGCCUGAAAAUGUCAAACUGAGCCACAGAGAGCGUGGUUCCUUUUGGCUUCUCCACGUUAUGGAACGAGUGGACUUGGUAUUUAGUUGCUGCAAGUUGUAGCACCAAAGACUAAACUCUGUGAAUUUUACCUACGAAUGCAACUUUCUUCAUGUACUGAAAUCAUUCCCAAUUCAGAAUCCUUGUAACAACAAAGACUGUGAAGUAUCGUGUACACACUUUUAACUGCUUUGAUACAUAAUUGACAUAUAGUGAUCGUAAAUAUUUAAAUAUGUGAUUAAUAUGUUUGACAUGUACGAAUAAAACCCUCACCCAAACAAGGUAGUUAUAUAUUCCUGUCCCCCGAACGUUUCCUCAUGUCCCUUUUUGUUUUUUUUUCCCCGCUCUGGCCUCUCUCAGCUCUUUCCCCUCAGAUAACCAGUGAUAUUUUCUGUGACUGUUGAUUUUGUACAUUUCUGACCCCUAGUAUGUGCAAUUUCCAUUUCCCCUACUUUCUCAGAGGCACUUUUAUUGCUGCUGUAAUAAAUGUGUAGCGGUGUUUUGUUAAGGGCUUUUGUUGUUGUUGCAUUGCUUGGGAUCAAAUCCAGGGACUCAUGCACGCUAGACAAGAACUUUACAACUGAACUACACCCCAGGCCUCAUUAUAGUUUUAAUUUGCACUUUUUACAUUUUUAAAAUCUUUAUUUUAGUUAACUCUUCAUAUAUUCCUAUUAUUAGGCCAUUCUGAGUGUGAAAUUCUGAUUCAUAAUAGUGUUCCUGCAAUAGUAGACUAUCUAUAAUUACGUAUUUAGUAACCUUAGGUGUUAGCUUGUGAAAAGCUUUACUACUUCUUAUACCCCUUUUUGGCAUAAUAUUUUUUUGCAUAAAAUACAAUUAAAUAUAUAAAUUAAGAAUUGCUGUUUCUGUGGGUUGUUUCAAGCAAAAAUACUGUAGCCAAUUAUGGUGGAUUAACUAAGAGUCCACUUGUAACCCCAGCUGAAUUGAGUCAUCGUGGAGCUGGGUGUGGGAGGCCCACCUGAGGAUUGUUGCCAGCAGCAUAAAAGGAGAAUCGGAGGGGAAGAUGGUGCUGUAGAUUCUCCUGGAAAAGCUUGCCACGGCUCAUGUCUGUGAUGUGAACUCUGUUCUGGGUCCAGGAAGAUGAAACUGUCUCCGGCAUGCUGAUUCUGAUUUUGAGUGUCUACGUGAAAGUAGGUCACCUGACUUAGCACCUCCCAGCAGUGACAGCGACACCCUUGCACUCUUCUGUCACCUACCAACAAUCAGAAGCUUUCCUACUUUGACUAGAAAUUAAGUGUACGUUUAUGAUGGCCGGAGAGCAGGAUGAAACAGCUGCGCCCAUGCAUCUCCGUCACUUCUCAGCCGAAGCAGCGCUUGGGAAGAAUGCUAAUCCACCCCUUCUCUAUUAAAGAUAAAACUGCGGCGAUUCGGACGAUUUUAAAUUAUUAAAUGCUGUAAAUGCCAUAAAGUUAAUUAGAAGAGGAACAAACUCUACAAAGAUAAAUGUGUUUUCAAUACGACUCGUGGAGAGGGUACAGUAGAAACCAGUGAACAGAGAGGAAAUUUAUUUCUGGCAGGACUCUAGACAUGGAACCGUGGCUGAACUUUUUACCCUAAUUACCUCCUGCUAAUGCCUGCAGCGGUCUGGAAUCAAAGUGCUGCUUCAGGCCCUGGAAAUUCUCUGAUGUGGCAAACGUUUGUUGUGUGAGGAGGGUUUCUUAAGAAAAAGCAGAAUAUUGUGACAGGAUUUUAAAAAAAUUUCUCAGUUACCACCCACCUCACUUGUUGCCUACAAAAAUAGAGUAAUUGUUUGCAUCUGUGUGUUCUUUUUUCCUCCUAAGAAAUAACUGUUAUAAAUCAAUGUGACAUAGAUCCAGUGAACUGAGGCCUGCCUGAAGUAGGGUUUUUUUUUUUUAAGUUUCUCCUCUGAUUUAAAAUUUAGGUUCAAAAUGUGAACAACUUAUUCUUUAUAAUUAAGAAUAACCAUUCUACUCAUUUUUAAAGGCAAAUUCAGAUCUUAAAGCGGAGAAAUUUUAAAAUGAAUUUAAUGACUUGUAUAGUAUCUGUAUUAAUAACUGUUAAAUUGCUUAUCCUGGAAGUAGAAAUGCAGAUUUCCAGUUUUACCGUUAGCUCUUGGACUGGGGCUACAGUCUAAGAUACCUGCUUUUAAUUCCUCUGAGACUGUACAUCAUGCUAUUUAUCUGUCAUAAAAUUUCUGGCCUCUUGUACACAUUUUUGAAAUAAAAAGUCAUUCUGUGUAACCCACCUGUUUUUCAUCCUGUUGUUAAAAGCAGUGAUUCUGUACUCAUUCAGGCUGCGUGCAUUAGUCAUUCAGGCUGUGUUCUAAGAGAACUCAGCUUUCAGUCGUCUGCCCUUGCACUGCUUGUGCCCAUGCUAAAUCGCAUCUCCAGUUCUAGUCCUUUACUGCUCUGCUUGGAGUACUUUUUAGAUAAUUCUUGAAAAAUACUAAUAGCAUUGUUGUGUUGUAAUGCAAGUAAGAUCAUGAUUUCUUGUGGGUAGAUAUUUAUUUUGGCAAUCAUUCAUUAUUAAAGGUAGGACUGAGUCUUUUUUAUCUUAGACCAUAAAGAGAAUUUUUAUUCUUCAUAAUGAAGUACAAAAUUUCUUUCAAGGUUGUUUGAGAAAUUCACAUCUUGCUGUGAUUACGUUGUGGUCAUUAAUUGCUGCAAUAUAACCUUUGUAUUUUGUGUACUUACACGUUUGUAUUGCAUCAGUAUACACUGUGAGUAAUAUAAUUUUGUGAGUAGGUUUGUUUCCUUCAAUUACCAAGUUUCAAACUUAUGUUACAAAUAAAUUUUUCAUGUUUUAUUCAGUGGUAAGGCACUGAUAUAUUUUCACAUUUAAUGUACUGUUCCAAAAUUGUGAUCCUUUGGUCUACAAGUAACAUGUAUUUGACAUCAUUUUGCUGUGUCAUUUGAAUGAUUUUUGCCUCAAUUCUGCCUCCUGCCUCAAGUACUCUUCAGGAGGAUAGAUAUUAGCUAUGAAAAGUAACCCUUUAUUGUAAUAAUACUGUUAAAACUUAAAACUACUAAUUUUUAUAUCUUAUUUAUAUCUUCAAGCAUUUUGAUAGUUUAAUUUAUAUUUCACUAUAAGAUAUGUAUUCUGAGAAAUAUUUAAAAUCUAUUCCACUUUUUGUCCUUAUAAUGACAUUAUACCAAAGGAGAAUUACAUUGAUAUAGCUGUGUCCUAAAUUAUACAAUGUAAAAUUACGUAGGUAUACUGCUUGUAAAUGGUCCCUGUAAUUUUUAAGUAAAUGUUCUUCAUGGUAUAAGAAUAAUGAUUUUUUUUUAAAAGAAAUAACAAAAUAAAAAAAUAAUGAUUUUUUUAAAAAAAGUAAAAUUAGAAGUAUUAAUUUAUAAUGGAGUUUUCCUUGUUCACUAAAAUAAGAAAUAUCUUUGUUAUUUAUGGGGUGUUUCCUUGUUCACUAAAAUAAUAAAUACCUAUUAUUUAUAAAUAAUAAAUAUCUUUUUGAUUAUUAUAUAAAGUAUUUUUGUUUUAUUUCAUUUUUAAUUGACAAAUAAUAAUACAUGUUUUUGAAGAUACAAAGUGAUACAUGGUAGAAUUAUCUACUUAGGCUAACUAAGAUGUCCCUCAUCUAAAAUAUUUACCAUUUAUUAUGUUGGAAGAACAACAAAUAUAUUUAAAACUUCUCUUAGCCAUUUUGAAAUAUACAUCUUUAAUAAUUAUAAUCACCAUGUAGGAGAUAACCAGAAUUUAGGUUUUAAGCAUUUAACGGAGAAAUUAAUAGAUAAGUAAACUAUUUUUGUAUGUAUUCUUUUCUAAAAAUUAUUUUGGUGUUAUAGCUAGUUAUUUAUUGACUUUGAAAAGUAGAUUUAAAGAAUGAUUUAUUAAUUUCAGCUUCAUUUAAUUAAUUUUAGCUUCAUUUCAUUUCAUGUCUCAUGUUUGAUUCUUUUUUACAUCUACUCAAACAUCAAGCAUGUUGAUAAAUUCUGAAUUUUAAGAGACAGUAGGGUUAUUUAAGCAGGCAUGCUGUAGAUUAUAAAUUUUAAGAUGACACUAGAAUAAUAAAAGCAGCCAUGGCAUUCCACAGUGGAAUAUAUUUGGCUUCUUUGUCCUUGCUUGGCAGAAGUUGGUGUAAUUAAUGUCUUUUGUAAAUUGAGCAAGAUUUCAGUAUUCUCAUUUCAACUCUGGUGUUUUCUAAUUAACUAUGGUUAUAUAUACAAUUCUGUUUUAUCAUCAUAAGUGAUAAACUAUUAGGGAAAUAAAUCUAAUCAAGAUUUUA